GCUGGGCCUGGUGGCGCCCGCCCAUAGUCCCAGCUACUUGGCGGGAGGGUCGCUUGAGCCCAAGAGUGCUGGGCUGUAGUGUGCUCUGCCAAUCGGGUGUCUACAUAAAGUUCGACAUCAGUACACAUAUAGUGACCUCCUGGGAGCGGGGGACCAGCAGGUUGGCAAAGGAGAGGUCAGUCGGCCCAGGUCAGAAAUGGAGCAGGUCAGAACUCCUGGGUUGAUCAGUGGUGUGACUGUGCCUGUAAACAGUCACUGUACUCCAGCCUGGACAAUAGAGCGAGAACUUU
rnacentral:SRP_RNA from 1 species